AUAGGUAGUCAUUGUCAAGUAAGAAUACCUGUUAAAUUUAAGCAUAUAAUUAAAUGGAGGAUUAGAAAAAAAGGGACAUCCAAAGUAAUGGCGAAUGAAAUGGAAAUUGAAUAAUCUAAAAAUCCGAUAUAUCAUGGAAUGCACCUUGUAGUUUAGUUAGUUGGAUGCCCUUUAACUUCAAGUAGGCUUGAGUAUGAUUGAGAUCAGAGAGAGUUGAAUUCUCGUAUGUUAAGAAGUUAGGAGUUACUUUUAACUAUAGUCUUAAGUAGACUUCUUUGGUACUAGAGCUCGAAGUGUGUGGUGAUAUUCACAAAAUUAUUUUUAUUGGUGGGAGACCUUUAGUGUAGAAGUACCGUGAGGGAAAGAUGAAAAGAACUUUGGAGAGGGAUUUAAAUAGUAUGUGAGCAUGUUGGUAAAAAGCGAAUCAAAUAAGAAGGCAUUACUUUGAUAAAUUAAAAUUGUUAAUACAUAAUAAUCAGCUAUUGAAAGGUAUAUUUAGUUUUUAGCUUUAUAGAGCAGGGUGUAUAUAUAUCUGAGGUUAUUUUGAUCUGACCCGUCUGGAAACACGGUCCAAGGAGUCCAGUAUGGAUGCGAGACUUUGUAGUUUAAAUUUCCCUUGUCGCAGGCAAUUUAGAUCGUGUCUAUCUUUGUACUAAGAUAUAAUCGUGGGCCCUGAUAUUCUGAGCAAGAGCAUACCUAUUGGGAUCCGAAAGAUGGUGAACUAUACUUGUGCAGGGUUAAGGCUGGAGAAAUUCUGUUGGAGGCUCGAAACGAUACUGACGUGCAAAUCGUUUGUCGGAUGUAAGUGUAGGGGCGAAAGACUAAUCGAACUGUCUAGUAGCUGAUUCCCUUCGAAGUUUCCCUCAGGAUAGUUAGAGUUUGAGAAUAAAGUUACAUUAGGUAGAGCAAAUGAUUAGAGCACAUGGGACUGAAACAGUCUCAGUCUAUUUUUAAACUUUAAAUGGGUGUGAAGUAAUGCUCUCUUAACUGUAGUGUUUCAUUAAAUGAGAUCUUUCAGUGGUCCACUUUUGGUAAGCAGAACUGGCGAUGUGGGAUGUUCCAGACGGAUAGUGAAGAUGUUACUGUAUUCGCUUAUUCCGAUACCAUAAAGGUUGUUACUUAAUUUAGACAGUAGGUCGAUGGUCAUGGAGGUUGAAAAUCGCUAAGGAGUGUGUAACAACUCACCUGCCAAAUCAACCAGCCCCAAAAAUGGAUGGCGCUUAAGCGAUUCAUUGAAACUACAUUUCUGAAGUAAAUGAUGUAGACAAUAGCAAGUAGGUGGGCGCGGCGGAUGUAUAGAAAUUAUGAGCGUUAGGUAUAAUGGAGCAGCUGUUAGGGCAGAUCUUGGUGAUAGUAGCAAUUAUUCAUACAAGGGUAAUGAAUGCUGAAGAGGAGUAUGUUUCCAUGUCAACAGCAGUUGAACAUGGGUUAAUCGGUUCUAAGUGAAUGUCAUAGUAAUAGAGUAGUUGGCAUCAACGUUUUAAACAAAGGAGUGUCCCAUUAAUAUUUCUGAGUUUCAUGUUGUGAUAUUGAUACGGUAACGUAUUAACUAUCAGUUCUAGUGGUUGAGGCUUCUUUGAGAGAUCUCUACUCUUAUCAAAUGUAUUAUGAUCAUGGAAUAAGUUUACCUUGAGAUAGGAGUAUAUUACAUAAACAACAUUGUCAGCUUUGCGAUGUAUGUAUACGUCUUAAACGGCUCGUAAAAAGCUUUGAACAUACUUGUGGUUAUAUUUUAUCCGUACUGAUUUCCGCAUCAGGUCUCUAAGGUCAUAAGCCUCUGGUUAAUAGAAUAAUGUGGGUAAGGGAAGUCGGCAAAAUGGUUCUGUAAGUUUGCGAUAAGGAAUGGCUCAUUAGGUUGGAUUUUACGGCUCUUGGGAGAGCCUAUUUGGUGACGGAACUUACUGAUAUUGAUCCUACGUCAUAAUCAGGUGGACUGUCGACUCAUACGGGUGGCAUCAUGAGAGAACUAUUUCCGGAGGGGAUUACGUUUCCGUUAAUAAUGAACGACAAGUAGUGAACUGGUGCUAACCACAGGAACCCGACUGUUUAAUUAAAACAAAGCAAUGUGAUGGAUCUGACGGUUGCUGAUACAAUGUGAUUUCUGCCCAGUGCUCUGAAUGUUACAGUGAAGAAAUUCAAUUAAGCGCGGGUAAACGGCGGGAGUAACUAUGACUCUCUUAAGGUAGCCAAAUGCCUCGUCAUCUCACUAGUGACGCGCAUGAAUGGAUCAAUGAGGCUCCUCCUGUCCCUAUCAACUAUCUAGCGAAAUCACAGCCAAGGGAACGGGCUUGGGUAUAAUGGCGGGGAAAGAAGACCCUGUUGAGCUUGACUCUAAUUUGACAUAGUGAAGUGGCAUUGGCGGUGUAGGAUAGGUGGGAGUGUUAAACAACCGUGAAAUACCACUACGUCGAUCGCUACUUUACUUAAAUAUUUGGAAUAAAUCUUCCCUAAGAUAAGAAUAUUUCUAAAACGAAAUUUGAGUAAGUGACUGAUUUAUCAACAUUGUCAGGUGGGGAGUUUGGCUGGGGCGGCACAUCUGUUAAAUGAUAACACAGGUGAUCUAAGAUCAGUUCAAUGCGAACGGAAAUCGCAUUUGGAAUUUCAGGGCAAAAACUGAUUUGACAUUGAUUCCAAAUAUGGCUCGAAGCACUGAAAGAUUUGGCCUAGUGAUCCUUUAGAUUUUUGAGUUACAAAGUUAGAGGUGUCAAAAAAGUUACCACAGGGAUAACUGGCUUGUGGCGG
rnacentral:rRNA from 1 species